UACCUGCAGCCCGAGUGGUGGCCGUUAUUAUUGGGCCUAAAACGUCCGUAGCCGGCUGAGUAGAUGCCUGUGUAAAUCGAACGGCUUAACCGUUCGAACUGCGGGUAGACCGCUCAGCUUGGGACCGGGAGAGUCACGAAGUACUCCGGGGGUAGAGGUGAAAUUCUGUAAUCCUCGGGGGACUACCGGUGGCGAAGGCGUCGUGAUAGAACGGCUCCGGCGGUGAGGGACGAAGCCCUGGGGCGCAAACCGG
rnacentral:rRNA from 1 species